UUUUUUUUUUUUUUCCGCUUUUUUGGAAGAUAAUGUAAUAAAUGUCCACAACCCCACACUAUACACCCCUCUUCACUCCACUCCUCCCUCCUUUGUGAUUGAAAAUGAGAGUCCCUUCACCUUUAAAAAGAAAAUAGAUGAGCGGUCUGCACCCGCAAGGCGGUGCUCUUGUUUUUUGUAUGUUGUGGUUAUAAUAACUUAAAUUGGCCAGCAAUGUUUAGCUGUUCAAUGAACUUCUUCCACAAAUUGGAAUAGGGCAUUAGAUUAAUAGAUUGCAGACAGCUGUCUGUUUAUUGCAAUCAAUUUAUAUGGUGAUGUUCUGUUGACACUGGCAAAUUAAUGCAGCUUUUUGUUUACAAUCCUUACUCAAUAUAAUAUCAUUGUUAAAGUAAUUUUAUUCUUUUGAUUCUAUUUUCAAUAAGUUUGUGAACUAUAUGUUAUGCCAGUCUUGGCCCAUUAGACAUGCUGAAUGUUGUAUGAGAUUUUUCAUCUUGGUGUUCUGAAUAGUGUUUUAUUCCCAAUCGGAAACUGGAUUUCUAGCCUCGGCAUUAUAUCUGUGUCCAUUUGAGCAUCAAAAAUGAAAUUUAAAUAUUGGUUUAAGACUUGUUUAACAUUGUUUCUUCAAAAUUUUCACUUUGCCAGACUUAUUUAAAUCAUUUGAAACUACGUACGUUGGUAUAUAGUUUUGUCUUUACUGCCCUCAUAAUAAUUGUUUUAAUCCUCAAGCCCAAAUAAUUGUAAAUAUUACAACAAACAGUUGAAUUUUCAAGGAGCUUGGUUAUAAUCAUAACCGAAUUUCUACAAGGGUAGAUUAAAUUUUUCUAGCCCUUGGUUGUCAUGCAAGUGGUUAAAGGGAAGAUUUCACAAAUGUACCCUAGAUUUGUCCCUUUUAAAAGGCAAGUUGAGUUGUGAACACUUUUGUUUCUUUCUAGAUGAGCUGCUUGAAGUUAGAUACUGCUUGAAUAGCAUUAACCCUUUGCAUGCUGGGAAAUUUGUCGUCUGCUAAAAUGUUGUCUGCUGGAUUUCUAAAAUUAGCAUUUUCUUUGAUUUUUUAGCUCACCUGAGCACAACGUGCUCAUGGUGAGCUUUUGUGAUCGCCUUUUGUCUGUCGUGCGUCAUCCGUCGUCAACAUUUUGCCUUGUGAACACUCUAGAGGCCACAUUUAUUGUCCGAUCUUCAUGAAACUUGGUCAGAACAUUUGUCCCAUUGAUACCUCGACUGAGUUUGAAACUGGGUCAUGCUGGGUCAAAAACUAGGUCACUAGGUCAAAAAAAGAAAAACCUUGUGAACAUUGUAAAAGUCACAUUUGAUGCCAAAUCUUCAUGUAACUUUGUCAAAAUGUUUGUCUAAAUGAUAUGUUGGUUGAGUUCAAAAAUGGUUUCGGUCCGUUGAAAAACAUGGCUGCCAGGGGGCGGGGCAGUAUUCCUUAUAUGGCUUUAGAGAAACCUUGUGAACACUCUAGAAGUCACAAUUUUUGCCCAAUCAUCAUGAAACUUGGUGGAAACAUUGGUUUUAUUAAUAUCUCGGACGAGUUCGAAAAUGGUCUAGAUCGAUGAAAAAACAUGGCGGCCAGGGGGCGGGGCAGUUUUCUCUAUAUGUAUAAAGUGAAAACAUGUGAACACUCUAGAAGUCACAUUUUUGGUCCAAUCUUCAUGAAAUUUUGUCAGAACAUGUCUUUUAUGGAUAUGACGGUUGAGUUCGAAAAUGGUUUAGUUUGCUUGAAAAACAUGGCUGCCAAGAGGCGGGGCAUUUUUCCUAAUAUGGCUAUAUAUGGCUAUAGUAAAAUCUUGUUAACACUCUAGAGGCCAAAUUUAUUGUCUGAUCUUCAUGAAACUUGGUCAGAAGAUUCAUCCCAAUAAUACCUUGGACAAGUUUAAAAAUGACGCUGGUUGGUUGAAAAACAUGGCUUCCAGGGGGCGGGGCAUUUUUCCUUAUAUGGCUAUAGUAAAACCUUGUUAACACUCUAGAGUCCACAUUUAUUUUCCGAUCUUCAUGAAACUUGCUCAGAAGAUUUUUUCCAAUGAUAUCUUGGAUGAGUUCAAAAAUGGUAACCUUUGCUUGAAAAACAUGGCUGCCAAGGGGCGGGGCAUUUUUCCUUAUAUGACUAUAUAUGGCUAUAGUAAAAUCUUGUUAACACUCUAGAGGCCACAUUUAUUGUCCAAUCUUCAUGAACCUUGGUCAGAAGAUUCAUACCAAUAAUAUCUUGGAAGAGUUCAAAAAUGAUGCCGGUUGGUUGGAAAACAUGGCCAGCAGGGUGCAAGGCAUUGUUCCUUUAAUAUUAAAUAAUCCUUAAAUAAUAAAACCUUGUUAACACUCUAGAGGCCACAUUUAUUUUCCGAUCUUCAUUAAACUUGGUCAGAAGAUUUGUCCCAAUGAUAUCUUGGAUGAGUUUGAAAAUGGUAACCUUUGCUUGAAAAACAUGGCUGUCAAGGAGUGGGGCAUAUUUCCUUAUAUGGCUAUAGUAAAAUCUUAUUAACACUUUAGAGGCCACAUUUAUUGUCCAAUCUUCAUGAAACUUGGUCAGAAGAUUCAUCCCUAUAAUAUCUUAGAAGAGAUCAAAAAUGAUGACAUUUGGUUGAAAAACAUGGCCACAGGGGCGGGGCAUUUUUCCUUAUAUGGCUAUAGUAUAACCUUGUUAACACUCUAGAGGCCACAUUUAUUGUCAAAUCUUCAUGAAAUUUGGUCAGAAGAUUGGUUUCAAUGAUAUCUUGGAUGAGUUUGAAAAUAAUUAUGUUUGCUUGAAAAACAUGGCUUCCAAGGGCGGUCUUCAUUAAACUUGGUCAGAAGAUUUGUCCCAAUAAUAUCUUGUUAUCUCAGGUGAGCGACUUUGGGCCUUGCAGACCCUCUUGUUUCAAAGAAUACUAUCAGAAUAGUAAACAGUUUGGAUCCAGAUGAGACGCCAUGCUUUGUGGCCUUUCAUCUGGAUUCAAACUGUUUGCAAAGGCCUUCAAAAUUUGGUUCCAGCACUGAAAGGGUUAAACUGUUUUCUAUUGUCUUCCUGUCUUUAAAACCUGCUUGUACAAACUGCUGAUAGAUUGAAUACUAUCUCCUCAUCCUGAACUGUUAAUGACAUUGUGUGUAUGGUUGAAGUCCUCACUUGAUUAAAUCAUUGAACAACAUUCAGACAUCUGCUUGUAAAUAUAAAUGUUGAUUCACUUUAUAAAUGGUCUGCAAAACAUGUCAUGAAUGUGCUGUUGUAUGUGUGUCAAGUCCAAAUCUAAAGUGUUCUUCAUAGAAAUGAGUUUUCAAUAAUAACGAUUCAUAGUUAAUCAAUUGACUUAAAAUAAUUUGUUCACAUAUUUAUAAACUUAUUCAUGGCCGGUAUAGCAGCGUCUUAAAGAUUGUAAUCAAUUCUUGUGAAACAGGAAUCAAUGAAUCUCAUCUACUUGUUAAUCUCAUGAUGUCUCACAACUGAUUCAUUGUCAUUUGCCAAACACAAGCAUGAAGGACUGAGUUUGAACCACUCUGAUACAGAACUGGCCACUUUGUAUACAUCACUGUAUCAAAUUUUAUUAUUUCACAUCAUACCGUUGGCAUUUAAGUGAUUUGAAAGUGUUAAAUGAAUGCAUUUUAAGGCAGUUAUAAUCAUCUUCUGUGAUUAAUAAAACUUAAUAUAAAAAAAUUAACUAAGGCCACAACAAAAUGAUAAGAUGUUCAUUGGAUUUGCUGAAAAACAUACCCAUUUCUUUUUUGGUAGUUCAGGGAAACAUGGAAUAAUGUUGAUUUUUUAGAAAACUUUUGAGUUGUUCAGGUAUUGGCCCAAAUUACCUUAAAUUGUGUUAUAAACUUUUUAAAGCAAAUUUUUGAUGCUUAUAGUUUUGUUUGUUUUACUAGAUAUGUUGAUGUGCUGAGCAAAUAAUUUGAAAAUCAAAUUAUAUUUAUGUUUGUACAUUGUCACCAUUAUCCCAAACUGUGCUUUAUUCAAAACUGAAAAACACGUUAACAACUUUGGUUUACCGUAAAUUAUUAUCAAAACCAGAUGUAUGUUUUUAGUCGUUGUUGUACUGCUGUUUUUUGUCAAGUCCUAGAAAGUUGAUAAGUACUUUGCUUUAUCUGUUAGACGUAUUUACCAGUAUAGAUUAGAAAUUAAAAAAUAACCUAUUGUAUUUUUAUGCCCCCCUUCGAAGAAGAAGGGGUAUAUUGUUUUGCACAUGUCGGUCGCUUAGGCCUAGGAUCAUGAAACUACAAAGGUAUAUUGAUCAUGACUGGCAGAUGACUCCUAUUGAUUUUCAGGUCACUAGGUCAGAGGUCAAGGUCACAGUGACUCGAAACAGUUAAAUGGUUUCAGGAUGAUAACUCAAGAAUGCCUACGCCUAGGAUCAUGAAACUUCAUAGGUACAUUGAUAAUGACUGGCAGAUGACCCCUAUUGAUUUUCAGGUCACUAGAGCAAAGGUCAAGGUCACAGUGUUUCAAAAUAGUAAAAUGGUUUCCGGACGAUAACUCAAGAAUGCUUACGCCUAGGAUCAUGAAACUUCAUAGGUACAUUGAUCAUGACUGGCAGAUGACCCCUAUCGAUUUUCAGAUCACUUGGUCCAAGGUCAAGGUCACAGUGACAAAAAAUGUAUUCACACAAUGGCUCCCACUACAACUGACAGCCCAUAUGGGGGGCAUGCGUGUUUUACAAACAGCCCUUGUUUGAAUUUAUGCUUGUUUGGAAUAAAAUAAUAUCAUUACUUUUUUUCUUAAACUUACUGACAGUGUUCACAUAUUUGAACUAAGGACAUAACAUCAUAUGUUAAAAUCUUAUUAAAAUGAUCAUUAAUUAACAUGAAGUUUUGGUAUAAUUGAAAGUCAACUUAGAAUCAAGCUGAAAUAAAGACGGUUGUUUAAAUAUUAAAUAAGUUGCAAUAUUAAACUUACUUGGGAAAUUGGGCAUGUGCUGAUUUAUUUAGUUGAUUAAUGUCUGCUGAUCUCACAACAUAAUACUUUUUCAGAUAUAAUUGGUGCAGAUAAAACGCUUUUACUGAAGGGAUUAUCCACUAUUUUGGUGUGGAAUCUUAAUUCAUAACAAAGUGCCAUUUAAUGCAUUUAAACAGGUGUUGUUUAUAUAAUUUUGAAAACCAGCAUAACCUCUCACAAACAUAUUAUAAUUACAAUCAAUUUGCUAAAAAAACUUAACUCAAAUGUAGAAGUCUAAAAUAAGAUACAUUACCCUACUUUAUUUGACAAAACUCAUCAAAAAGAAAUGAUAAGCAGUAAAACUUGAAGUUUGCACACACUUAGAAUUCAGUUUUCACAGAUUUUCCAGGGCCUCAGUUAUUUGUGUGGAUUUUCUUGUUAUUUUGGCAGAUAUUGGCUUGUAAAUUCUUUAAUGAACUGUGUAAGCUUUUGGGGUUUUGUCACCUAGACAUAACUUGAAUAUGUUCCUGUUGUUGUUGUUUUUCUAGAUCUUAGUGUUUUUUCAUAGCCAUUUUCAUAACUUCAUUGUCAGAGGUAUUGGCAGGUGUGCAUUUUGUAAUAAAGCUUUUAAUACAAUAAAUCAGAUAAAUGUACAUUUGUUAUUUGUACCACAAAAAGUAUUUAUUAUUUAUAUUCAUUGUAAGAUAUAAUAAUGAUUUUGGUGUAAACCUUUAUAAAUAUUUGUAAAUAAGUUUGUUGUUACUUUUUGUGAUGAGGAACAGUACCUGAUGGUGGUAUUAAAAAUAAAACCAUU